AAGUAAUCACAACAAGAUGAAGUUCUUUGGAAUUGUGUUAUUUUUGUUUUCACUUGUCGCAGCAAGUUUUGUAACUGCUUUUCCUCUAGAUCCACAAGAGUCUUAUUUGCCAAGAAUGUCUCCACCUUAUUUUCCUUAUUCCCCAAGAAUGAACCCACCCCACGUUUAUCAAGGACCACCGCCCAUGGGACCAAGAUGGGGGCCACAAAAACAAAAUCAAUUCUGUGACUGGUUUAAUGGUGGAGCUUGUUAUUAAACAUUUUACGAGAAAAGAAAUUAAUUGUUCUUUGCAACAAAUAAAGCAAUUAUAAAAGA